rnacentral:tRNA from 1 species
GCCUUCGUGGUGUAAUUGAAAGAAUAUUCGACUCGUAUUCGAAAUGUCCUGGAUUCGAGUCCCGGCGAGGGCA